rnacentral:rRNA from 1 species
CCUACGGGAGGCUGCAGUGGGGAAUACUGCACAAUGGGCGCAAGCCUGAUGCAGCCAUGCCGCGUGUGUGAAGAAGGCCUUCGGGUUGUAAAGCACUUUCAGCGGGGAGGAAGGCGUUAAGGUUAAUAACCUUGUCGAUUGACGUUACCCGCAGAAGAAGCACCGGCUAACUCCGUGCCAGCAGCCGCGGUAAUACGGAGGGUGCAAGCGUUAAUCGGAAUUACUGGGCGUAAAGCGCACGCAGGCGGUCUGUCAAGUCGGAUGUGAAAUCCCCGGGGUCAACCUGGGAACUGCAUUCGAAACUGGCAGGCUAGAGUCUUGUAGAGGGGGGUAGAAUUCCAGGUGUAGCGGUGAAAUGCGUAGAGAUCUGGAGGAAUACCGGUGGCGAAGGCGGCCCCCUGGACAAAGACUGACGCUCAGGUGCGAAAGCGUGGGGAGCAAACAGGAUUAGAUACCCCUGUAGUC